rnacentral:lncRNA from 1 species
GUCCAUACACAGGGACUUGUGGGCCAGGAGAAGGAGCUGGGAUUGGCUCUAAGUGUGAGGAAAGCCACCGGAAAUUUCUGAGCCGGGAAUGGAGACAUCUUGUUCAGCGUGAUGCCUGCCUGUGUGAGCACAGCCUGGGACAACUGACUGAUGGAGCCAUGUGCAGAAACUUCUGAGGUUUGGUGAGAGCGGUCCGUG